AAGUCAUGAUUCGGGCACCUUCUCAGCAUGGAUUUGUAUCUUUCCCAAGCUUCACGCAAACUUUCACCUGUACUUUGGGAAAAAGUAGAAAUAGCAGUUCUACAAUCU